AUAUUCUGUUUUGUCAACAAUAUCUAGCUGCUGCCAGAACAGCAGCUCUUCAAGGUUAGCACAGCUGAGAUAAGGAAACAGUUCUAGUAGAUUUAAGGGCCCCUUAGGAACAAUGAGUCGAGUCCCGCCUGGGCAUCCGACCCGUGCAUCUGAGCUGUGCCUCCAGCGGCCUUCCAUCGGCGACCCCUCUGUGCGAUUCCCAGGGCUCCCUGUGCAGCUUGGAGUGUAAGUUGGAGCAAAAACAUUCGUCAUGCAACUGCCUGCCUCAUUGACCAACCACUGCGUGGCUCUACCCUGUAUGUUCAUUGCAAAGGGGAAUCCACUGAGCGGCUGUGUGUGCUUAGAGUGCAACAGCUGCACCCUCAAGCCUGCCUCCCCAGGUGAGCCAUGCCUGGGAGUGCAGGGUGGGAUCUGCAACUGCCACGUGAAGUAAUAACCCUAAAACCGGAGAGCUGUCGUCUUUCUAUGUCCCCUCUAGGAGACUCUCGCCCAGAGAACUGUGACCUGAGGAAUAAGUUGAGCAGAGCUGCGACAUCGCUGCUCUCCAUCCUAACCCUGUACCCUGACGGCAAUUGGGACACUGACGGAACUGCAGAGAACGCAUCGAAUCCAACAUCCACAAGAUAAAGAGCCUACUUGAAGUAUGAACGUCCAAAGAAUCAGCCUGGGACAACCCCUGGCGGUGACUGUCAUCAUGGCUGUUGACUAUGGGGAAAAUGCAUUAUGCUCCUAAUCUUCUGGGCUGAUAAGUUUUGUGUGCAUACAUAUUAUAAUUUGAUAUAUAUACACACACACACGUAUAUAUAUGUACACACACACAUAUCUAUAUGUAUAUUCGUUAUGAUUUAGUUGCUUGUACACCUUAUCUGUUUAGUUGGGCUAAUACCUGAAAGGCAUAUCUGAACCUUGUCCAUACUCUGGUGGCACCGAUACCACAUCUCUGUCAGUCAAGGGGUGGAGUGUGAUGAGGACACCUGUGGAAGAUCUGGAGAGGAGUCAGUGGCUGGCAGAGCAUGCGGUAGCAGGCCCUGCACGUGAAACUACACACUGACCAAAUUCCCAUGAGGGCCAGGCAGGCAUAUUCCAUUUUGUCAACAAUGCCUAGCUGCUUCCUGGACAGUAGCUACUCAAGGUUAGCACAGCUGAGAUAAGGAAACAGUUCUAGUAGAUUUAAGGGCCCCUUAGGAACAAUGAGUCGAGUCCCGCCUGGGUGUCUGAGCCACGGGUCUGACCUGUGCCUCCAGUGGCCUCCCAUUAGCGACCCCUCUGUGCAGUUUCCAGGGCUCCCUGUGCAGCUUGGAGUGUAAGUCCUUUAUUAUUAACCUCGUAUGAACCUUGAGUGUCUCUCUCUGCCGGUAUCCGACUCUCUCUUGCCCGCCUUUCAGUCAUAGCUUCUGUAGGCAAUGACAAAUUCUUAAUACAACUAGAAAAGGAGUAUUCAUACCUUCCCUCCCAACACACUCCUGAGACUUAAAAUGAUAGAGAUUUGAACUUCAGUUUGCUUUGAGCUUUUCAAAAUCCUAAUUUUCCUAAUUUCCUUAUGUAUAUAUAUAAACUAAGGAAAUUCUUGCUGAAAAAUGGGAACUUUUUAAUGUUCCCUAAAAUACCAAAGUAAAACAAAAGAAAUUGUCAUGCUUUAUAAAUGCUUGCUUAGAAUCUAUUAAUCACUGUGUAAAUUCCUUCCUUUGCCAGUUCCACGGAUGGUAUGUUGUAGGUGCCACCCUGAGAACUCUUGUUAGUAUUAAGUGUAGGACUCAUGCAUCAAUUCAAGAAGUUCGUAUUAUCUAGCAUAUUAAGAAGCUAACAGUCAUUAACCCAAGAUUAUAUCCAUACCAUAGGCAAGUGCAUUUUGAAAUCUACAGUCUUUUGUACUUUUCAUUUUGCUUCCAUUUCCUCUCUUACCUAAUACUGGAAAUGCAAAUUUUAAUGGUUGACAGUGCUACAGGCUGAUGAAUGUGAGAACCAGAGGGCUGAAUAAGAAGCAAUGCCUGGACUCUGAGGUGGAACUGCUGAUUCUCUUGGGUGCUCUCCCUGAGCCUGGCCCCAAUUCAUUACUGACAGAAAACAUUACUUAAAUGUGUUUUUUACAAAUGUUUUGAAUUAAAAUAAACAAGAAUGAAAUACGAUGUAAUUAAUCACUUAGGCAGGAUGAUUACAAAUUCCAUCAAACUAAUUGAAGACUAAACUAUAUAGUUAUCAAACUAAUACUGGUUUAGCAGAAACAUUUGUGCUAAAUUUGGACUUACGGUCUUUAUUUCUUCAUAAUGGUUAGACUUAAGGUCUUGGUAUUUUCUGUUGAUAUCAUCCAGCCAGUUCGGUGGGCUUAACAGAAUACACUGAUUUUUCUGUACCCUAUCCUUGUGUUAUUUGUGGACAAACUGGUGUAGACAGACUUGUGUUUUACCUUUGCUCUGAUAUGUGAACUGACUCUAUUCAAACAGUUGUGCUAGCAUCAUGCUGUAGCCUCAAAUGUGUUGAGCAGCAGGUGGUAGUUAGCUCUGGUAACCGAGACCCCAUCUCGUCUUGUUAACCACUUCUGAGGUGAGGCUGCCUUAUGGAUAGUCAGGCUGGACAGUAUAGGCAGAAAUAGUCUGAUAGACCUGCACAAGUCCAUGUAGACGAAGUCAAGUUGCCCAGCUCUCUCACUGUGAAUUUUAGUUUGGUUUAGAACAUGGUUACCUAAAUUGACAUUUGAGAUUCCACUACUGGAGAGUGUUGAAAAGUUGCAGUGCUGAACCUCAGUGACUGCUCAUAGUUUUAACUCUAAGCAUUUAUGGUUUUUAUUGUUAGACAGCCACAAAAAGAUUCUGCUAGAGGAGAAGUCCUAAUUAUCUUACUGGGUAGCAGCUAUAUUAAAUCUCAAAGUGAAAAGUUGUUAACUACCACAUACCAGCUCCAUUUAGAAAGAGGUAAUCGAAGCCUGUUCACUUCUAUUGUGUCACCUGCCCUACAUAAUAUAUUCAUUCCAUUUUUAUAUAUUUUAACAACUUUGAAUUUAAAGAGCUUUUUAUGUAUACAGUGUUAAAAAAUACAUACUUUCUGAACUGGUUGCUAAGAAUGAGCAGCAGGUGUUUUCAAGCUGGUCUAUUUCUGAAGUUGUGCAACAUCAGAUUUCCACGGUGACUCCGAUUUUAGACUCCAGCAAAUGGAACACUUUGGAUGUUAUCCCAUUAGAAACCAUUAUGCAUUAAUGCAAAAGGUCAGUCUUAUCACAGUUUGUGCAACACAGCAUGCUACAGUGCAUUAAGAGUUGGAAUAUAUCAAGUGCUAAUAUUCAAAUACAUUUCUUAAUGGAAAGGCAAGAAACUAGGAGCUUUACAUAAUCAGGGUGAAAGGUUGCAGUAAAAGCUUAAAAUAAUGCAAAAGUAUUCUUUUUAGACAUUUAAACCUGCAAUUAGAGGUAUAUCCAAGUAACACUACUGUGAUCUUGAAUCCCAAAGAGAAAUUCAGGAAUUUUUUAAUUCAAAGAUUUCUAUAAGGGAUUUUGAUUUGUACCACUAUGUUGUUAUAUAAACAGGGAUUGGAAAGAAAAUUUAGAUAAUGAACCAGUUCAUCUUCUACUCAGCCCUAAGGCUGAACAGUACUUUGAAUCUAAUAUUUUGUUGUAGAUACAUUUCCAGUUAAUCUCCUACAGAUAAUGGACACAUGCCUGUCUUUCGGUAGAUCUUUUUAUUAUCAUUGAAUAGGCGUACAAAAAUAUAUGAACACUUGUUUUUUAAAGGAAUUUUACACAGUUUAGAUGCACUGUACAAGCUGCAAUUCCAUUGCACAAGGUCAUCUGUCACCCAGCCCUUCCAUUGAUAUGAUGGCUAACACUCAAAACAUGUUUCAGUAAUAUUAUCAGAGGGUGUUGCCAAGAAACUUUGGUGACCUAUAGAUGUUAGCUUAUUAUUUAAGGUUGUUUUGUAGUUGUUUACUACAAGGAGCUUAUUUUCUCAUUCAGACCAUACCAUCCUCAGCUUUUGAAGUAUGACAUGGGAUUUAAUGAAAUGGGAUAUACAUAAUCUCUUUUUUCCGACUAUUAGACUCUUUAAACAGUCCUGUGUGGCGUUUUGCUGUACUGAAUCCUAAAACAACCAAUAUUAUGUAUAACCUCUCAAAAUUGUUUUCAGACAUGCUGUACAAUGCAUAAUGAAUAAGAUAUACAUUGUGUUGGAAAUAUAAGUUCAGAUAAAUAUCAUCUAAUUUUAUUAAAAAUGAAUCCUGCAGGAACAGAAACCUUAAGUAAAAGUUUACUCAGGAAAAUCAGUUUAGCAGGGCACUAUAAUGCUUGCUUUUAUGUAUUUUGAGAAGGAAGCUUCUUCUAAAGUAAUGUCAAUAUUAUGCCUUUCUGGAAUGUUGUACACAAAAAUACUAGUUUCUGCUGCAAAUCUUAGCUUCAUUGCUAAUAUUUCACAGUAUUUAGCAAAUAUCAAGAGUUCAAAAUGAGCAGAUUACGCAGUUCUUGUUUUGUAUACUUUGGAGAAACAAGGUAGCUAAAGUACUAGACCAAACUAGUUAUUCCAAACCACUAUAGGUCAUCCCUCCUUGGAUUUAACACAGUCAGGAGUUGAGUUCCCAUACUGAUGCAGUUCUUGGCCUUUGUGUGUCAUGGUGUUUUUUUUUCUAUGAUAGACUAGAGAUAUACAAUAGUGAUCACACAUGAGACUAAAAAAUUGCUGCAUUUUCCAAAAUGACAAAUAAAUAUUCCUGAAAUAAAAAGUUUUCUUCUGUUUUCCCCAAAGUGUUUCCUAUGUCAUGCAUAA